rnacentral:rRNA from 1 species
GCACAUGCUUAUAGCAUAGCAUUAAUGAACUAGAUGCCAUUAGAACUCCACAGUUAAGCGCACUCGAUCUAGAGAAGUAUUGGGAUGGGUGACCGCCCAGGAAUCCCUAUUGUUUUACAUGCC